rnacentral:rRNA from 1 species
GAUGAACGCUAGCGGGAGGCCUAACACAUGCAAGCCGAGCAGUAUUGUUUCUUCGGAAAUGAGAGAGCGGCGUACGGGUGCGGAACACGUGUGCAACCUGCCUUUAUCUGGGGGAUAGCCUUUCGAAAGGAAGAUUAAUACUCCAUAAUAUAUUGAACGGCAUCGUUUAAUAUUGAAAGCUCCGGCGGAUAGAGAUGGGCACGCGCAAGAUUAGCUAGUUGGUGAGGUAACGGCUAACCAAGGCGAUGAUCUUUAGGAGGCCUGAGAGGGUGAUCCCCCACACUGGUACUGAGACACGGACCAGACUCCUACGGGAGGCAGCAGUGAGGAAUAUUGGUCAAUGGGUGCAAGCCUGAACCAGCCAUCCCGCGUGAAGGACGACUGCCCUAUGGGUUGUAAACUUCUUUUGUAUAGGGAUAAACCUACCCUCGUGAGGGUAGCUGAAGGUACUAUACGAAUAAGCACCGGCUAACUCCGUGCCAGCCGCCGCCGUAACAC